AGUGGAGGGAAACCAGAUGAUUCUUGAACUAAAUUAAGGAGAGGUUAGUUUUUCCUUAUUGAAAAGAAUACUGUAGUUUUAAGAGAGCAUCUUAGAAAAUAUAUGUGUGCUCUUAAACUUUUCAAAUAUAUGAUGUGAAAUAUCUUUCUUCUUCCUCAGAAGACUAAAUUUUGUGUUCUGUUUUAGUUUGAUAUUAACAAAAUAGAGAGGUAACAUGUAUGUUUGCAGAACAUGAAUGUUUAGCCAAGAUUCUUUAAAUAUCUGAAAUCUAAGUAAAAGUCUUAAUUGUUGUGUUUUGGGGGACCACUUUUAUUUCAUCAGAUGCAAUUUAAGUGUUCGGUAUAUGGAAGGACUGUAGCAAUUAGAAAUAUCGAAACGUAGACCAGGCUAGCUUCUGAGUCUUCAAGAGGAGCUUAGUUUAACCAGUUAACCUUCCGGGCCUCCCCCAUCCUCCUGUUUCCUAAAGCUUUGAAAAAUGUUUUCUUUUCUGCUGUUCAGCAAGGAAAAAGUUAUGAUUUUGUUUUAGAAACAACAGGUCUUUUAAAUGAUCAAUUAGGUACCAAUGAUAAUAUUAAUUUUUUUUUAAUUUGGUUUUUUAACCUGGCUCUAUAAAACCUAACCCUUUUGGGAUAGUAUAUGAGCUUAUGAAAUUUGAGGUACUUUCUUGCAUAUAUCAAGACUGAUCUCAUUUAAAUAUUUAGGUAUUAACAAGUUUUCCCAGGACCAGCCCUGUGGCCUAGCACGCUCCAUUUGGGCGGCCCAGCUUCAUGGGUCUGGAUCUUGGGCGCAGACCUACACCACUUGUCAGCCAUGCUGUGACGGCAACCCACAUGUAAAAUAGGGGAAGACUGGCACCAGUGUUAGCUCAACAAUUAUGUUGCUGAGAAAAAAAGAAAUUUUCCCAUCAUAUGCUAGCUUUGAGUUACAAAGAUAUAAUCUAUUUACAGAUUGAUGAAAAGGUAAUUAAUACAUUCAGAAACAGUACAUUUGUGAAGUAGUUUUCAGCAUUCUUAGUUUUGUUUGCUUUGUAUGAGCCCUGAGCUAACUAACAUCUCUUGCCAUUCUUCCUCAUUUUUUUUUAAUUUGUUUUUUGUUCUCUCCCCACAGCCCCAGUACAUAGUUGUAUAUUCUAGUUGUGAGUGCUGUCCCCCAGUUGUUUUUAUUCAUAGUUUUCCCACCAUCUAGAAAGUUGCCCUAUCACCACGUAUUUAAAAGCUACUGUUUAAGUGAAUCUUUCUGGAUACCUCUGUGACUAUAGGUAAUCUGUCUAUAUGAAUUUCAUGUAUUUCCUCUUA
rnacentral:lncRNA from 1 species